UGAGGAGCGGCCGGCUGGCGUCCGCUGCGCCCAGGAGCUGGGGAUGUCCUACAAACCCAUCGCCCCCGCCCCCAGCAGCACCCCUGGCUCCAGCACCCAUGGGCCGGGCACCCCGGUCCCUACAGGAAGCGUGCCGUCGCCGUCGGGCUCAGUGCCAGGAGCCGCCACCCCUUUCAGACCGCUGUUGACUUUGGACCGCCUUCCAUGGGCUAUGUGCAGGCGAUGAAGCCACCCGGCACCCAGGGCUCCCAGAGCACCUACACGGACCUGCUGUCGGUCAUAGAGGAGAUGGGCAAAGAGAUCCAGCCCACCUAUGCCGGCAGCAAGAGUGCCAUGGAGCGCCUGAAGAGAGGUAUCAUCCAUGCCUGGGCCCUAGUCAGACAGUGCCUGGCAGAGACAGAGCGGAACGCCUGCACGCAACAGGAAGCCUCUCAGCCUCAGCGUCCGGAACUUUCCCGGGCACUGCAGAGCACCCGCUUCUCCCUGGCCAUCAUCCCGAGUUGCACUAGCCAUCCUGGGCUUCCUGUCCUGUGUCCCUUGGUGGGUGCCCUCCAGGAACCAAAGGGCGGCUCUCACUCCAGGUGGCAGCACUAAGAACUCCCUCCCCCUCCCCCCCAACAAGAGUUAGCAGCGAGGUCCCUGUGAGUCGGGCCCAUGACCUGCCGACAGUGUUGCCCACCGGAACUUUCUGUGGCCCCCACUGCUCAGCCCCUCCCAGCACUUCUCACACUUUGUCCCGAGCCUCCCUCUCUCCCAGCAGGGACUCAGGUCUGGCACCUGCUUGCCUUGUGUCCUGGGCCAUAGUGACUCUUUUCUCUGUGUGUCUUUUGCUAAAUAUCCACUUUUUAUAUUAAUAAAAGAUGAUUUGGAAAAAAAAAAAAAAAA